rnacentral:rRNA from 1 species
CUUUUAUGGAGAGUUUGAUCCUGGCUCAGAGUGAACGCUGGCGGCGUGCCUAAUACAUGCAAGUCGAACGAUGAAGCUUCUAGCUUGCUAGAGUGCUGAUUAGUGGCGCACGGGUGAGUAACGCAUAGGUCAUGUGCCUCUUAGUUUGGGAUAGCCAUUGGAAACGAUGAUUAAUACCAGAUACUCCCUACGGGGGAAAGAUUUAUCGCUAAGAGAUCAGCCUAUGUCCUAUCAGCUUGUUGGUAAGGUAAUGGCUUACCAAGGCUAUGACGGGUAUCCGGCCUGAGAGGGUGAACGGACACACUGGAACUGAGACACGGUCCAGACUCCUACGGGAGGCAGCAGUAGGGAAUAUUGCUCAAUGGGGGAAACCCUGAAGCAGCAACGCCGCGUGGAGGAUGAAGGUUUUAGGAUUGUAAACUCCUUUUGUUAGAGAAGAUAAUGACGGUAUCUAACGAAUAAGCACCGGCUAACUCCGUGCCAGCAGCCGCGGUAAUACGGAGGGUGCAAGCGUUACUCGGAAUCACUGGGCGUAAAGAGCGCGUAGGCGGGAUAGUCAGUCAGGUGUGAAAUCCUAUGGCUUAACCAUAGAACUGCAUUUGAAACUACUAUUCUAGAGUGUGGGAGAGGUAGGUGGAAUUCUUGGUGUAGGGGUAAAAUCCGUAGAGAUCAAGAGGAAUACUCAUUGCGAAGGCGACCUGCUGGAACAUUACUGACGCUGAUUGCGCGAAAGCGUGGGGAGCAAACAGGAUUAGAUACCCUGGUAGUCCACGCCCUAAACGAUGGAUGCUAGUUGUUGGAGGGCUUAGUCUCUCCAGUAAUGCAGCUAACGCAUUAAGCAUCCCGCCUGGGGAGUACGGUCGCAAGAUUAAAACUCAAAGGAAUAGACGGGGACCCGCACAAGCGGUGGAGCAUGUGGUUUAAUUCGAAGAUACACGAAGAACCUUACCUAGGCUUGACAUUGAGAGAAUCCGCUAGAAAUAGUGGAGUGUCUGGCUUGCCAGACCUUGAAAACAGGUGCUGCACGGCUGUCGUCAGCUCGUGUCGUGAGAUGUUGGGUUAAGUCCCGCAACGAGCGCAACCCCCUUUCUUAGUUGCUAACAGGUUAUGCUGAGAACUCUAAGGAUACUGCCUCCGUAAGGAGGAGGAAGGUGGGGACGACGUCAAGUCAUCAUGGCCCUUACGCCUAGGGCUACACACGUGCUACAAUGGGGUGUACAAAGAGAAGCAAUACUGCGAAGUGGAGCCAAUCUUCAAAACACCUCUCAGUUCGGAUUGUAGGCUGCAACUCGCCUGCAUGAAGCUGGAAUCGCUAGUAAUCGCAAAUCAGCCAUGUUGCGGUGAAUACGUUCCCGGGUCUUGUACUCACCGCCCGUCACACCAUGGGAGUUGUGUUUGCCUUAAGUCAGGAUGCUAAAUUAGCUACUGCCCACGGCACACACAGCGACUGGGGUGAAGUCGUAACAAGGUAACCGUAGGUGAACCUGCGGUUGGAUCACCUCCUUUCU